AAACUCGGUUCCGAUUGGUCUUGUUAGUAGGAAGAAAAGGUAUAUGCUUUAGUUGAUGUCAUGAUAUAGGCUUCCUUGGGUGAAUCAUAUAAAAUGUUAUGCACCUAUAGCUUUCAAGUCUUCACCCUACCAUGUGCUGCUAUCUCAUGGAACAAGUAACAUGCAGAAUCCUUUUGGCUCAUAAAAUUCGAGUUUUCUACGAGUGUCGCUGUAAAUAAUGUCGUGUUUUUUCCAACCAUGGAAGACGUACCGAUCCAAAACAAGGUUCAGCAUUGGGUUGACCUCACAAAAACUAAACUCCCAACACUUCAAAGAGACAUCCAUUACUUGGCAAUAAAUUACAAGAUAAGUUGUUAGUCUUUGUUCCUGUCCAAAUUCCAUUGAAAAAUAC